AUGCUGCUUGUUCAUCAGGGCUGUUUAAAUUUGAAUUUAAAGCGCUGUGAAUUAUAUUCUGAGACAUGGAGGGAGUUUAUUUCUCGACAAAUUGUUACCAGUAUCGCUUUUUCGCAUUCCAAGAAGUGCUUGAUUGGCGAGUUUUCAUCCUUGGAAAUUUUCUUCUGGUGCUGCAUCUUGCACUUGUACAAUGCAUUGCUGACCCAACAUUUAGUUAAAUCUUCUGUGGAAUUUUCUUCACGAGCUUAA